UUUCCGGUUGAUCCCGCCGGACCUGACUGCUAUCGGAUUGAUACUAAGCCAUGCGAGUCUUUGUAGUAAUACAAGGCAUACGGCUCAGUAACGCGUAGUCAACCUACCCUAUGGACAAGAAUAAUCUCGGGAAACUGAGCAUAAUUCUUGAUAGAUCAUAAUGCCUGGAAUGGUUUAUGGUUAAAAUGAUUCGUCGCCAUAGGAUGGGACUGCGGCCUAUCAGCUUGUUGGUGAGGUAAUGGCCCACCAAGGCGAUAACAGGUACGGGCUCUGAGAGGAGAAGCCCGGAGAUGGGUACUGAGACAAGGACCCAGGCCCUAUGGGGCGCAGCAGGCGAGAAAACUUUGCAAUGUGCGAAAGCACGACAAGGUUAGUCCGAGUGAUUUCUGCUAAAGAGAUCUUUUGCUAGUCAUAAAACCACUAGUGAAUAAGGGGUGGGCAAGUUCUGGUGUCAGCCGCCGCGGUAAAACCAGCACCUCAAGUGGUCAGGAUGAUUAUUGGGCCUAAAGCAUCCGUAGCCGGCUCUGUAAGUUUUCGGUUAAAUCUAUGCGCUCAACGUAUGGGCUGCCGAAAAUACUGCAGAGAUAGGGAGUGGGAGAGGUAGACGGUACUCGGUAGGAAGGGGUAAAAUCCUUUGAUCUAUCGAUGACCACCUGUGGCGAAGGCGGUCUACCAGAACACGUUCGACGGUGAGGGAUGAAAGCUGGGGGAGCAAACCGGAUUAGAUACCCGGGUAGUCCCAGCUGUAAACGAUGCAGACUCGAUGAUGCAUUGGCAUAUAGCCAGUGCAGUGUCGCAGGGAAGCCGUUAAGUCUGCCGCCUGGGAAGUACGUACGCAAGUAUGAAACUUAAAGGAAUUGGCGGGGGAGCACCACAAGGGGUGAAGCCUGCGGUUCAAUUGGAGUCAACGCCGGG
rnacentral:rRNA from 1 species